rnacentral:tmRNA from 1 species
GGGGCUGCACUGGUUUCGACGUGGGUUCGGACGCGUGGCAGGGCAUGUCGAGGUUCUGUUACCUCGUAAAACCGCAGAAAAAAAACUAACUGCAAACGACGAACGUUUCGCACUCGCCGCUUAAUUGCCGGUGAGCUUUGCAACAGCAUGCCUAUGGGCUGGGCAAGGGUUCGAAUGGCGCAAGCCGCUAGAGUCCAGGCUGCAAAGAUAAUUUAAUAGGCUGGCUGUGCGUCGGGUAACUUGGCGUGCGGUGAGAUUCAAGGUUGCUGGCUUUCCUUGCAGCGUGUCGCUGCGCGGCUUGGGAAGUGAGAUUCAAAUCAGACGACUACACAUGUAGAACUGUACGAAAAAGGCUUGCGGACGGGGGUUCAAAUCCCCCCAGCUCCACCA